rnacentral:rRNA from 1 species
GACGAACGCUGGCGGCGUGCUUAACACAUGCAAGUCGAACGGAAAGGCCUGCUUUCCCUUGUGGAUUGCGGGUACUCGAGUGGCGAACGGGUGAGUAACACGUGAGUGAUCUGCCCCCAACUUGGGUAUAAGCCUGGGAAACUGGGUCUAAUUCCCGAUAGGACUGCAGGGUGGUGCCUGUGGUGGAAAACGAUUUUCUAGUGGUUGGGGAUGAGCUCGCGGCCUAUCAGCUUGUUGGUGGGGUAAUGGCCUACCAAGGCGGCGACGGGUAGCCGGCCUGAGAGGGUGGACGGCCACAUUGGGACUGAGAUACGGCCCAGACUCCUACGGGAGGCAGCAGUGGGGAAUAUUGCACAAUGGGCGGAAGCCUGAUGCAGCGACGACGCGUGGGGGAUGACGGCCUUCGGGUUGUAAACUCCUUUCGACCGCGAGGAAGCCACCUGGUUGGAAGGGUGGUGACGGUAGUGGUAGAAGAAGCACCGGCUAACUACGU